rnacentral:rRNA from 1 species
AGCGUAGGCGGACUUUUAAGUGAGAUGUGAAAUACCCGGGCUCAACCUGGGUGCUGCAUUUCAAACUGGAAGUCUAGAGUGCAGGAGAGGAGAGUGGAAUUCCUAGUGUAGCGGUGAAAUGCGUAGAGAUUAGGAAGAACACCAGUGGCGAAGGCGACUCUCUGGACUGUAACUGACGCUGAGGCUCGAAAGCGUGGGAGCAAACA